UACGAGAGGCCCAAACGUUAUUCGGAAUUACUGGGCGUAAAGCGCACGUAGGCGGCUUUGUAAGUUAGAGGUGAAAGCCUGGGGCUCAACUCCAGAAUAGCCUUUAAGACUGCAUCGCUUGAACGUCGGAGAGGUGAGUGGAAUUCCGAGUGUAGAGGUGAAAUUCGUAGAUAUUCGGAAGAACACCAGUGGCGAAGGCGGCUCACUGGACUGGUAUUGACGCUGAGGUGCGAAAGCGUGGGGAGCAAACAGG
rnacentral:rRNA from 1 species